UACGGGGGGGGCAAGCGUUGUUCGGAAUUACUGGGCGUAAAGGGCUCGUAGGCGGCCAACUAAGUCAGACGUGAAAUCCCUCGGCUUAACCGGGGAACUGCAUCUGAUACUGGAUGGCUCGAGUUUGGGAGAGGGAUGCGGAAUUCCAGGUGUAGCGGUGAAAUGCGUAGAUAUCUGGAGGAACACCGGUGGCGAAGGCGGCAUCCUGGACCAACACUGACGCUGAUGAGCGAAAGCCAGGGGAGCAAACAGG
rnacentral:rRNA from 1 species